rnacentral:lncRNA from 1 species
GUCUUUUUGCCUUUUCUAGGGCCGCUCCUGCGGCAUAUGGAGGUUCCCAAGCUAGGGGUCUAAUUGGAGGCUUAGCCACCAGCCUACGCCAGAGCCACAGCAACUCAGGGUCUGAGCCACGUCUGCGACCUACACCACAGCUCACGGCAAUGCCGGAUCCUUAACCCACUGAGCAAGACCAGGGAUCGAACCCACAACCUCAUGGUUCCUAGUUGGAUUCCUUAACCACUGAGCCACGACGGGAACUUCUGCACAUUGUUUUUUCUUUAGACAUAAUGCUACUGUACACUUAACAGACUAUAGUAUAGCGUAAACAUAACUUUUAUAUGUGAUGGGAAACCAGAAACUUUAUGUGAUUCAUUUUAUUGUGGUGAUCUGGAACGGAACCCAUAACAUCUCGGAGGUCUGCCUGUACUAUUGUUAGUAGAAUAACAAUAGAAUUGCCCUCCACUUCAGCCUGUCUAGGAUUCAAGAGUAACCCUGGAAAUAUUUGUUCCAUUAAGGUAAAAUCUGAAUUAUUUUUACCUUAUACAAAAUAUGUACUGCUGUUGUCUUGGUGGAAAACAUAUUUGAGCGAUGAUCUGAAAGGAAUAAUGCUGGGUAGUCUGAGCUCACAUGGACAGUCUGAUUAAACUCCCAGACCUAAGCACUGUGCCCAACCUCUACAUUGGUGAGGAAGUGGUGCUUCUGAAGGGUCAGGACUGGGAAACACCUUCUGAUGACCUGAGUACCACGGGGCCCUGGGAAGCCCUUAGGUUCACUGAGUUUGAGUCUACUGAAACAAUAUUAUUUAUUAUUCUUGGCUGUGUAGCUCACUUACCAGGUGACUUUAGGAAAAUAAUGUAACCUCUCCACUUUACUCACUUCUAAAUGGGUUCACUGUUUGCCUACCUUAUGGAGGUGUUGUGCUGAUAAAACAAUUGAUGGCAGAGCAGAAAGGCCCUUUAAUCAUUUGAUGCACUGCCUCAGAAAUCCUAGCUGCAUGCAGUGAAAGAGAUGGUCAUGGUCCUAUCUAGCAAUCACCAACUGGGGAUAGAUUUUGCAAUCAGCAAACUACUACCAGGCUGAGGGGACCUGGAACGGUGCAGGUCUAGGGUAAAUGCAUGGGCAUCUGUGUCAGAAAACUUGGGCUCAAAUCCCAGCUCUCCCACUUGCUGGCUGUGUGAUGUUGGGAAAGUCAACUAGCCUCUCUGAGCCUGCAUUGCCUGUUCCAUGAACUAGGAAAACCCAGUCUUUUAGGGUUGGCUGUAGGGAUUAAAUGAAGCAGCUGACAUUUAGUAGAUUAAUAAAGGGCAAUGGUUAUAAGGGCCUGUCAUUUUCCAUGAGGUCUUACGAAUGUAAUGCAGUGUUUCCAAAAUGUGCAGUAUUUUUACCACUUAGGGGAAAUAAAGAGAGGGUUUUAUGUGGGACACGGAAAUUCUUAGAUGUGUGGAAUUAGGAACAAAUAGGGCACAUCAGAGUUGUGACUUCAUGACUGUUACUGAUUAGGAUGGGGAUAGUUCUAGAAAAAGAGUCAAUUUAAGCAUUAUAAUAAAUGAUUAUAUAGUUGGACUUGGGGUAAUAGAAUUUGAAGGUGGUGUAUGAAAGGCUUAAACCACAAAUGGCUGAUAGCAUAGAAAAAGGCACUGGGCUAGGAGCAAGCUCUGACCUUAAGUUUACAUUCAUCAAUCAUAUGACCAAAGCCCUGCUCCUAAGUCUAUCUGAGCUCCAGUUUCCUCAUCUGUAAAAUGGGAUAAUAAUAUUGAGGAAGAUAAAAAUGAGGUAAUAAAAAUGAAAUUUCUUGGAAAACUGCAAAAGUGCCAUCCAGCUUAUGUAAGAGGUUUGUUAUCCCUAAUAUGUGCUUUUUUUCUUUCUAGGGCCAUUCCCGUGGCAUAUGGAGGUUCCUGGGCUAGGGUCUGAAUCAGAGCUGUAGCUGCUGGCCUACGCCACAGCCACAGUAACGUGGAUCUGAGCCACAUCUGCGAUCUAUGCUACAGCUUGCAGUAACGCCAGAUCCUUAACCCACUGAGCGAGGCCAGGGAUUGAAACCACAACUUCAUGGAUAUUAGUCUGGUUUUUAACCUGCUGAGCCACAACGGGAACUCCCCUAACAUGUGCUUUGAUAGAGAAAUAAUCCACACUUAGCUGCCAGCUGAUAAGACUGCAGUACAGAUCAAGUUCAAAGUCAAGGAGGGUUUCAAUCCCCACUCUGCCAGUUACUAUCCUGCAGCCUUGAGCAAGCCGUUUAAGGGAUUAAUAAGAACAUACCAUUUGCAAUUCAACUCAAAGACCAAAAACAACUCAAAGGAAAAUGGACAAAAGAUGUGACAAGACAGAAGACCAAAGGUGAAAUAUGACGGCUUUUGUAUAUAUAAACAUGUUCUCUAUCUCAUUCAUAAGAUACAUGCUAAUUGUACCCACACUGGGUAUGACCUUUUUGAUCAUCAAAUAUGCAAAGAUCAGUUUGAUUAAGCUGUAUUGGUAAGGAGUAGGAAAUAGGUAUGCCUUUAUAGUAGAUGGUGGGGAGGUAACCUGUUCCCACCUCUAUGGGGGGCAAUUUACAAUUUGUCAGGAGUGUAAAAGUACAGACCUUUUGAGGUAGGCUGAAUGCUGGGUUCCACACGCCAAUCCCUGGAAUGUGUGUUACCUUAUGUGGCAAAAAGGAUUUAAGAUUAGGAAUCCAGAGACGGGGAAAUUAUUCUCAGUUAUCCGGGAGAGUCAGAUGAAAUCACUGGGGUCCUUAUAAGAGGGAGGCAGAUCAGAGAGGAGGGGCGGAUACACAAUGAUGACACAUGAGGUUACGUGUUGAUCUCUGCAGGUCAGUUGUUCUGUCCAGGAACAGACUCAGGCUGUGACUGCAUGCCAUCUGUAGGGUUCCAGUCACACCCAGGCUUCCUUCAUCUUUCCAGCUGCACUGAAACUGGCAAGGUGAUGCCCCUCUGCCAACCUGCAACCAGACUCCAAAUUGCAGGCAGAUCGCCAGAGCAGCAGCCAGUUUCCAGUCCAUAUCCCCAGGUCAGGCGCAGAGGAGGUCCCUCAUUAUCUAGCCCUGAGAAGCCCUUGGGUGAGCCCAAGUGGAGCUCUCUUCUCUCUACAGGCACAACACACAGCUCUUUGUCUUCACUGCAGAGCGAGUCUUUUUCCUGACACGUGAGAAAUACUCCUGCGUGAUGGAUUAAAAUUCCUCAAAGAAGGAGAAAGAGGAAAGCAAAAUAAAUGUAUUUCCAUGACUUUGAGUACAAAUCCCCGUGCAGGGCCGUGUGCCAUCCUCAGAGCCGAGCUGGAGCUAUUUUAGAGCCAGUGUCGUGUGUGAGACAAAUCUACUCGACUGAAAAAUCUUCUUUUACAGGAUAGAGAUAGGCAAGAAAUCAGUGCUGGGGCUCUCUGAGUGCUUGAUUGUGGUUAUAAACGUUCCCGGCUGCAUCAGCAAAGCUGCUCCAAGUCGACCAUAAACCUUUGGGGGGGACUCAGGAGGCAGGGCUGACAAGGCAAGUUGAAAACCUGGGCCCCUUUGACUAGGAGUCCUUCCGAGCUGCUAAAAAUACUGCCCGAAGUGGGAGCAGACCAGGGAAACAUCCCCCAAGCCCCCAUCUAUGACUGGUAAGAAAAGGGGCCAGCUAAGGAGGUGGGAUGGAGGCGCAGGAGAAUUCAGCAAACAUAAGAUGAAGCAGAUUUGGUGCUGUGUGCCAGAGAUGCAGAGGUGUCUCCCCAGACUAAAGGAGCUUAGAUGAAGGUGAGGGCAAAGCAUGGACUUGAGCCAGAAAAGUCUGGGUUCAAAUCCCAGCUCAGCCAUUUAUACUCCUUUGUAUUGCCUUGUGCCCAAAGCAUGUGGCUUUAUAAGCCUCAGUUUUCCCAUCUGCAAGGUGGAGCUAAUAAUCUGAACUUGUGGACUGCAAGCUUUAGGGAUGAUGUAUGGCUAGUGCCUGGCACAGAGUGGACCCUUGACAAAUGGUAGCUGCUAUUAUUGCUCUGACAGUCUAGUGAAUAAAGAUCUUUAAAAGCAAUGGGAAAUCAAACAAGGAGGAGGAAAAUCACAGACAAUCCCAGGUUGUAUGGUUUGGGUGAUAAGUGUCAGAAAAAUUCUCAGAAAGGAAAAGUUCCUAAGACUUCACCCAAUCUCUACUCAUAGACAUCUCUUCCAGCCUCCUGAAGCUGAUAAAUGCUAUAUUUCUUCCAGCCUGCCCAGAUCUGCCAGUACCACGGAAUAUUCAUCCAUGUGGUGUUUGUGGAACUGGAUGGCAUCAUUCCUCUUCUGAUACCCAGGGUACAGGAAAAUGGAAGGUUGUGGUAAAUGAGUAGAUUAGGGGUUUGGGUAAAUUGCAAAGGACACCCUGCAUGGAAAAGGCAGGCGUGUGUAUCACUCAGAGGCCAAUCAGAAAGGCUGGGCUACUAUACUCACCUGCCCCCACUUCAGACAUUGGCUAUAAGUGGGGUCCCCAGGCCACUUGCACAUCUGGCCACAAAACUGAGGAAGUUCUCGUGACCCACUUAGGCUCAGUAAUUCCCUAGAACAACUCAUAGAACUCAAGAAAGUGCUUACUUAUGAUUACAAUUUUGUUGUAAAGGAAGGACACAGAUCAGAUCAUUACCAGGAAGAGACACACAGGGUGACGUCUGAGAGGGUCCAGAACAUGAGGCUUCCCUUCCCUCUCCCCGGGAACCAAGGUGCCAUCAAUGUGUUCUAGCAUCAUCCUGGCACAUCUAUGUGUUCGCCAACCAGGAAGCUCUACUGGGCUUUUUUGUAUAGAGAUUCAGGAUUUUAUCACAUAGGCAUGAUUGACUGAGUCAUUAGCCAUGGGACUGAACUCAGAUUCCAGCUCCUAUCCCUGGCCCAGAGGUCAGGCUGUCUCAAGGCUCCAAGGCUCUCUCAUACAGUUGGUCCUCCUAGUUGACCCACUCCAUGCUGAUCAGGUGGAGGCCUGUGACCCCAUCAUGAGUCAUCUCAUCUCUUAGCAUAAACCCAGGUCUGAUCCAAGAGCUUAUGAAUUAAUGAAGACACUACUUUUACAUGGGAAAUUCCAAGGAUUUAGAGUCUCAUUGGUAGGAACCAGAGAUAAAGGGCAAAUUCUUUAUUACACAGCAGAUAUAAAGUGGAGGAGUGUAGGAAUGUGCUGGAACCCCAUGAGGAUGGGGCAAAACCCAAAGGUGGACCCAGGAAAAGGUGGGGUAGUGGCAGGCUUGGCUCCAUCUCAUGCCAAUGAGAUGAGCCAGCAGAUAGCAAUGCUGAGUGUGUGCUGCAUCACUUCCACCCUCCAAAUCUGCCACAGGAUCCAUCCCUCUGUGGCUGCCCGCACUGGAAACAUAUAGGGAUGGGAAUCCCAGGAAAUGCAGGUGAGCCCAGCCAGGGUGACUUGAUAAAGCCACAGUGUACAUGAGUUCAGUGAGAAGCCAACCCCUCAGCAAGGCCAAUGCUAACGGCAGGGGGGAGGGGAGGGAGGGGGUACCCAUCUCCAUGGUGUGAAUUAAUGGGUGGUGAGAAGAUGUUUCUAGAACAAUCUUGAAGCCUCAUGACUCUGAGAUAAUGCUGACUGUUCCUUUGGUUUUUUUUUAAGAAUGUAGACACCCUGGGAGAAGAACUCAUCAAGACACAAACCUAGACUCACUAGAGUCUGACGGGUUUCUGGCCCUUUCUCUGCAUCUACCUUAUGUUCCCAUCCUUGGCUGACUCACACCUCUGAGGCAGCAAAGCAGACUUGCCCACAGCUGUGUACGACUGAAUUACCCUUUGGACUGUCUUUCUAUAUGAGCCAAUGGCAGAGGCUGGAGCCCUCAAGCUGAUGGCUUGGCAUCUCCCUCACAGGAUCUACACACUGUCCCCAUUAGGGGCUACAUAAAAAGGACCUGACAUAGACCACAGCCCUGGUGAGCCCGCCCAUGAGACCUGCUUCCUGCAGGAAGGAAGGGGCCUCUCCUGUCAUCUCCUCCAGCCUCUCUCUCAGCCAUUUCACAGCCUGUUAGCACUUCUGUCACAGAGGACCCAACACUCCAAAUAGCCCAUUUCACCACCUAGAAGACCGUUUAGAGGAGAGGAUGGAGGGAGAGAGGAGAUCAGGAGUUAACAGGAUGACCCAGGUUAUCAGUUCCUUCUGGUUACCCAUUCACAGGGUGUCUGGGGAUAAUUGAGACAUACAAGGAAAGCAGAUGCGGAAUAUGCUAGAUAACUGAUACCCUACUGAGGAACAGGUAGAUAGAUCGCAUAACACCCUCAGUCUCCCAGGAACUGUUUAAUUUCAAAAUCUGUCCUUUUGUGGGAUGAAAUAUCUUUAGUUUUGCUUAGAAAAAUAUGGUCAAAAUAUCUGUGGACCAGAAGCCGCCGCCUCAGCGGUCAUUCUUCCUCUCCCCCAACAUCCAAGCCAUUAGCAGCUGCAGUUUCCAAAUCACUUCUUAGGUCCACCUAGUGCUCUUUCUCUGGCUUCACAGCACCGAGUGAGUCCAAACUCUGCUGGCUCUUCCCUGCAUGACUGUGACUGCCUCCCAACUGGGUCCCUGUAUCCUUCCCCUUUGGAUGUGGGCUGCUGUCGUGUUCUUGCAAUAUGACAUACUCUGGGCUGUCCUUUUGGAACAAAGAAUUCCCAUCAUAUGAGUGCCACCUCUUCAGUGAUUUAGAAAUCAGAAUGCAAAUUCCCAGACCCCCCUGUCGGCGUGUGACCCAGAACCCAUGCAUCGACUGCUCCCUACGAGGUGAGUCCUGAAGGUUCGGUCUCAUUGGUGGGGCUGGCAGAGACCCCAGCCUGCCUGUGGCCAGAAUAGCAGCAGGGGUGGCCCAGAGGCUGCCACUUGAGCUGGGACACUCGUGUUAGAGCAGCAGGGGCAGCAGGGGCAGGGAAAGCUGUGCUGGGGUGGGUGAUGCUCAGCAAAGGCUGCACAGGGAUUUAAACAUCAGGCCUCUUUGCAGGCAUUGUUUUGGGGGCUGCUCUUGGAAGCUUAGCUUCAAGUCUGGUUCUCUCCAAUAACUUUGAGAUUGACCUCAUGUCCUUUAAAAAAUAAAUCU